AUGGUAGCGUAGACGUUGUUGGGAUCUGCGGAGGCUCCAGCAGAAGCAGAGGAAGCUUUCACAGUGCUAUGACAUGAUGGUCUGAUGGUGGCGCUAGAGAAAAGUAACAGCACCAUGUAUACCCAAACACAGCUUACCCGGGCUUCACUGUUGGUCUUCUUAGUGUAGCUGAUGGAGGCGUA